CCUCUUUGCCGAUAUUGCGCCAAAUUCUCUGUUAUCUCUUCAGAUCAAAAAAAAAAAAAAGCCCCAAUCUCACUGCUCUCUUCCUCCUUCUCACCCAGUCGUCACUCUAUCUCUCUUGCACCGGCAACAGCAGCGUCUAGCGGCAACAACAGCGUCUGUAGCAGCGGCAACACCGUCUCUCUAGCAGCGCCAACAACAGCGUCUCUCUGGUUCUCCCUCCGGCAUCCAGGUGCACUCCAAGACUCGGUGAGAUACAAGCGCAGAACCUACAGAUUAAGAGGUUGAACUUGGCUGAGCAGAUCCUCCAGAUGUUGAACAUGGAUACUAAUAAGGUGGCUCUCAGAGUGUUCUGCUGAUAGACCUGCUGAUUCAUCUCAGUGAAGUUCUGCGGUGUUCUGCUGAUAGACCACUCAGUUGCAUUUUCAAUGGUCUGUUUGCUGGUUUAGUUUGGCUUUCGUUUCAGUUUUGGGUGCUGAGUGGUGUGCAACCGGCUGGAAAUAUGUUUGGUGGCUGCCUUCUCUAUUGUUGCCGGACUGAUACUGGAGAACACUGUCACAUCUAUUUUGGACAUGGCUGGAGUUCUUCUACGCUUUCUGAAAUGGUUUAUUGGAAGUAGUAGCUCAAAUGGUCCCAAGGUUCUUAAUUCUGUUGUUUGUUCUCCAUGUAGCACGAUUGAUGUAAUUGGCCAGAUCAAACAACCAAACCUUUUCCUCUCUGGAUUGCAAGAUGAAAUGGUUCCUCCACCGCACAUGCAAAUGCUAUAUGCUAAAGCUGCUGCACAUAACAGUUGAUGCAUCUUUGUGGAUUUUCCUAAUGGCAUGCAUAUGGACACAUGGCUGUCUGGUGGAGAUCGCUAUUGGAGAACAGUUCGACUGUUUUUGGAACAAAAUGUUUCAGAGAACAAGGAUGAUCUAUCUUCCCACAAGGGCAGUUAUUCUGAGGCACGGUGACUGGCCGAGGUUUAGAAUCUUGUGGUCUAAUGCAUUAGGCCACCCCAGAACUCAAACUAUUUGUACAUUUUUGACAUUGUAGUGACGGAAAGCUCUUUGUGAUUGCCGGUGGGAGCUGCUGCAUCAGGUGUAACCCUUUUGAAUGCAAACCUUUUGAGUAUGUGAUAUCUUCGCAUGUCAAUAUGGGGGCUUACUAUUGAUAUCAAAACAAGCUACAUUAUAUCUGUUUUUAUUUUUUUAUUUCUAUUGUCGAUACUAAAAAUUUGAGUUCUUGAAUUUCAAAAAUUAUUAGUAUUGUUAGAGGUUAUUUUAUAUAUUUUUGUAAAUAAUAUUUGAUUGACAAUUGUUACAAGGUACAUAUAUUAUUCUUGGUAUAUGAUUUUUUGAAUGUGAA